AUCUAUUGCUAUCUACCACUAUCUCCACUUGAUUCUAAAACAAAGAAUAAGAUCGAUUGUCGUUCACUUCAAGUUUACGAUUUAUAGUUAGAAAAAGUAUGGGCGACUAUUAUCGACGCUUGGUUAUUAUUUCAUGAUUUUUUUCUAAAAGAAAUUUAUAAUUCUUUUUUUAAAAGGUUAAAAAUUGUUUUUCGAGCUUCUUUGUUCAAGACAUUUGCUGUCCCAAGCUUCCGGAUUGUGAUAAUUGAGUGGAUCUAUGCAUUGAGUUAGAAAUUGCACCUAAAAUUUUUUGUUUGUGCCCAACAAGAGAAAUGGGGUAAGUUUUGAAGUUAACGUUCGACUUCUCGGUGGUUUAAUGGUAUGACGGUACACAAUAGCAUCCAUUUUAAAAAGAAGUAGCCAUGUGUUCAAAUAUGAAAGCGUGUGCGUGAAAAUCGACUGGUUGGAACAAGUAAACCGACGUUAUGUUCAGGGUUUCAGAAAAAGUGGUGGACUUUGCAAGUGAAGGGUUUCUUGAAGGUCAGAGGCAUCUCCUGAGGGUGAUCCGAGCAGUAGUGUUGGUAAUCAAGGGAUGAUGUGGACAACCAUUUUGAUGAUGUGCCUUUAUAGGAUGUUGCAUACUCUAAUAUAUUCAUUUGUGUUUUAACAUGUAUGAAAUCAUAAUAUUUAUGUCAACGGUGAUAAUGAAGAUAUUUUCUUUUAGCAAC